rnacentral:ncRNA from 1 species
GAGAGCACAAUACGAUGAAAGUUGUGAGCUGUGUUCGAGGGGGAGUUAUUUUCUAUUGCUAGCUUCUAUGGUAGAAUCAGUCGGGGAGGCUUGAGAGAUAAUGGUUUACCCUGU